UACAGAGGGUGCGAGCGUUGUUCGGAAUUAUUGGGCGUAAAGAGCGUGUAGGCGGCCAGACAGGUCAGCUGUGAAAACUCGAGGCUCAACCUCGAGACGUCGGUUGAAACCGUCUGGCUAGAGUCCGGAAGAGGAGAGUGGAAUUCCCGGUGUAGCGGUGAAAUGCGCAGAUAUCGGGAAGAACACCCGUGGCGAAGGCGGCUCUCUGGGACGGUACUGACGCUGAGACGCGAAAGCGUGGGGAGCGAACAGG
rnacentral:rRNA from 1 species